rnacentral:rRNA from 1 species
GUAGGUGGCAAGCGUUGUCCGGAAUUACUGGGCGUAAAGCGCGCGCAGGCGGUCCUUUAAGUCUGAUGUGAAAGCCCACGGCUCAACCGUGGAGGGUCAUUGGAAACUGGGGGACUUGAGUACAGAAGAGGAAAGCGGAAUUCCAAGUGUAGCGGUGAAAUGCGUAGAGAUUUGGAGGAACACCAGUGGCGAAGGCGGCUUUCUGGUCUGUAACUGACGCUGAGGCGCGAAAGCGUGGGGAGCAAACAGGGAUUAGAUACCCUGGUAGUCCACGCCGUAAACGAUGAGUGCUAAGUGUUAGGGGGUUUCCGCCCCCUUAGUGCUGCAGCUAACGCAUUAAGCACUCCGCCUGGGGAUACGGCCGCAAGGCUG